rnacentral:rRNA from 1 species
UCUGUUUGAUCCUGGCUCAGGAUGAACGCUAGCGGCAGGCUUAACACAUGCAAGUCGAGGGGUAACAGGAAUUGCUUGCAAUUCGCUGACGACCGGCGCACGGGUGCGUAACGCGUAUACAAUCUACCUUUUACAGAGGGAUAGCCCGAAGAAAUUCGGAUUAAUACCUCAUAAUAUUGUUUAACCGCAUGGUUAGAUAAUUAAAGUUUCGGCGGUAAAAGAUGAGUAUGCGUUCUAUUAGUUAGUUGGUGAGGUAACGGCUCACCAAGACAGCGAUAGAUAGGGGUCCUGAGAGGGAGAUCCCCCACACUGGUACUGAGACACGGACCAGACUCCUACGGGAGGCAGCAGUGAGGAAUAUUGGACAAUGGGCGAGAGCCUGAUCCAGCCAUGCCGCGUGCAGGAAGACGGCCCUAUGGGUUGUAAACUGCUUUUAUACAGGAAGAAACCACCCUACGUGUAGGGUGCUGACGGUACUGUAAGAAUAAGCACCGGCUAACUCCGUGCCAGCAGCCGCGGUAAUACGGAGGGUGCAAGCGUUAUCCGGAAUCAUUGGGUUUAAAGGGUCCGUAGGCGGGCUAUUAAGUCAGAGGUGAAAUCCCACAGCUUAACUGUGGAACUGCCUUUGAUACUGGUAGUCUUGAGUUAUAUGGAAGUAGAUAGAAUGUGUAGUGUAGCGGUGAAAUGCAUAGAUAUUACACAGAAUACCGAUUGCGAAGGCAGUCUACUACGUAUAUACUGACGCUAAUGGACGAAAGCGUGGGGAGCGAACAGGAUUAGAUACCCUGGUAGUCCACGCCGUAAACGAUGGACACUAGUUGUUGGGAUUUAUCUCAGUGACUAAGCGAAAGUGAUAAGUGUCCCACCUGGGGAGUACGAUCGCAAGAUUGAAACUCAAAGGAAUUGACGGGGGCCCGCACAAGCGGUGGAGCAUGU